GAUUGCCUCAGUAACGGCGAGUGAAGCGGCAGCAGCUCAAAUUUGAAAUCUGACCCCCUGCGGGGCCCGAGUUGUAAUUUGCAGAGGGUGCUUCGGGCGCGGCGCCGGUCUAAGUGCCUUGGAACAGGACGUCAUAGAGGGUGAGAAUCCCGUCUGUGACCGGCGGCCAAGCCCAUGUGAAGCCCUUUCGACGAGUCGAGUUGUUUGGGAAUGCAGCUCAAAACGGGUGGUAAAUUUCAUCUAAAGCUAAAUACCGGCCAGAGACCGAUAGCGGACAAGUAGAGUGAUCGAAAGAUGAAAAGCACUUUGGAAAGAGAGUCAAACAGUACGUGAAAUUGUUGAAAGGGAAGCGCUUGCGAUCAGACCGGUCCGGGGGCGAUCAGCCGCUGCUCGUCAGCGGUGCACUCGCCCUCGAUCCGGCCAGCAUCGGUUUGGGCGGCGGGAGAAAAGUCCCGGGAACGUAGCUUCCCUCGGGGAGUCUUAUAGCCCGGGUCGUCAUGCCGCCCGCCCGGACCGAGGACCGCGCUUCGGCUAGGAUGCUGGCGUAAUGGUCGCAAGCGACCCGUCUUGAAACACGGACCAAGGAGUCUAACAUCUAUGCGAGUGUUUGGGUGUCAAACCCGGGCGCGGAAUGAAAGUGAACGGAGGUGGGAACCCGUCGCACGGCGCACCAUCGACCGAUCCAGAUGUCUUCGGAUGGAUUUGAGUACGAGCAUAGCUGUUGGGACCCGAAAGAUGGUGAACUAUGCCCGGAUAGGGUGAAGCCAGAGGAAACUCUGGUGGAGGCUCGCAGCGGUUCUGACGUGCAAAUCGAUCGUCAAAUCUAGGCAUAGGGGCGAAAGACCAAUCGAACCAUCUAGUAGCUGGUUCCUGUCGAAGUUUCCCUCAGGAUAGCAGUAACGUUUUCAGUUUUAUGAGGUAAAGCGAAUGAUUAGAGGCCUUGGGGCUGAAACAGCCUUAACCUAUUCUCAAACUUUAAAUAUGUAAGAAGUCCUUGUUACUUAGUUGAACGUGGACAUUCGAAUGCACCGUUACUAGUGGGCCAUUUUUGGUAAGCAGAACUGGCGAUGCGGGAUGAACCGAACGCGAGGUUAAGGUGCCGGAAUGCACGCUCAUCAGACACCACAAAAAGUGUCAAUUCAUCCAGACAGCCGGACGGUGGCCAUGGAAGUUGGAAUCCGCUAAGGAGUGUGUAACAACUCACCGGCCGAAUGAAUUGGCCUUGAAAAUGGAUGGCGCUCAAGCGUGCUACCCAUACCUCGCCGCCAGGGUAGAAACGAUGCCCUG
rnacentral:rRNA from 1 species